rnacentral:rRNA from 1 species
UACGUAGGUGACAAGCGUUGUCCGGAUUUACUGGGCGUAAAGAGCGCGCAGGCGGUCGUUCAAGUCGAGUGUGAAAGCCCCCGGCUCAACUGGGGAGGGUCAUUCGAUACUGAUCGACUCGAAGGCAGGAGAGGGAAGUGGAAUUCCCGGUGUAGUGGUGAAAGUGCGUAGAUAUCGGGAGGAACACCAGUGGCGAAGGCGACUUCCUGGCCUGUUCUUGACGCUGAGGCGGCGAAAGCUAGGGGAGCAAACGGG